UGUGUACAAGUUUUGCACUAUCAUCUCACAAUUCUCUAUAGAUUUCUCUCUCCUCCUCUGCUAAGCUUGGUCUAUUUUCUCAACUCUUCUUUGUAGAUCUCAACUCUUCAAUGGCGAAUCCAUUUGUUGCUGAGUGUCUUCUCUUUGUGUAGACACUUUAAAUCUCUCUGUGAAGGUUUCCUCAAGAUUUUUGUUUGUUUGGGAUGCAUUGCCGAAGUAUUUCUUCAUGAUUUAAGGCCUGUUUUGGGUCCUUGUACUUCCUGUACUAUGCUUCAACACAAAAACACAAGAGCAGAAAACCCAGCAUUGUUAAUGCAAGUUCCUCCAUUGUUAGUUUGCCCGGAUUAAUGACUUUUGAUGACCAACAAAUGGCAUUGGGUUGCGAGUACGUACACAUUUUCUCCUCUUCUAAGGCUGAAUACAGAUCCAACAAAUGUAUUACCUGUUUUUUCUUAGAAGCAACAUUUAAAUAUAAACAUCAUCAACAAUGAAGAUGUGAAACUAAAAUUUGCUUACUCUUUUUUGGUGUUUAUGAAGGAGAAAGAACUCAACUUUACAUACAGCAACAUGCAAUUUUUUUCCCAAGGUUUGAUGUUACAGAAGUUCAAAAGAUUAUUAAGAUAUGAGCAAAGAUGACAUGUAGAAGUGAAGAUUAAAGAUGGCUACACUAAAUUGUUUAGCAAGAAUUGAGCAUGUUGUCGUCCCUGUUUCAAGUAUAUUUUAUCCAUAACAUGGGUUUUCACAUUACUACUACAACAGUGAUACUAAACCUAUUUGUUCAUGAAAA